rnacentral:rRNA from 1 species
GAUGAACGCUGGCGGCGUGCCUAAUACAUGCAAGUCGAGCGAACAGACGAGGAGCUUGCUCCUAUGACGUUAGCGGCGGACGGGUGAGUAACACGUGGAUAACCUACCUAUAAGACUGGGAUAACUUCGGGAAACCGGAGCUAAUACCGGAUAAUAUAUUGAACCGCAUGGUUCAAUAGAGAAAGACGGAUUUGCUGACACUUAUAGAUGGAUCCGCGCCGCAUUAGCUAGUUGGUAAGGUAACGGCUUACCAAGGCAACGAUGCGUAGCCGACCUGAGAGGGUGAUCGGCCACACUGGAACUGAGACACGGUCCAGACUCCUACGGGAGGCAGCAGUAGGGAAUCUUCCGCAAUGGGCGAAAGCCUGACGGAGCAACGCCGCGUGAGUGAUGAAGGUCUUCGGAUCGUAAAACUCUGUUAUUAGGGAAGAACAAAUGUGUAAGUAACUAUGCACGUCUUGACGGUACCUAAUCAGAAAGCCACGGCUAACUACGUG